CAAAAUGUAGCUUAACUAAAGCAUUUCGCUUACACCGAAAUGAUAUCCGUGAGACCCAGAUCAUUUUGA
rnacentral:tRNA from 1 species